CUCGACCUCUUUGUAAUCAUCGUCCGUGAAUCCGUACUUUUUCUUCAGCUCGUUGAGCUUCUGCUCCAGCGCCUUCUUCUUUGAACUCUCACUGUCCGACUCCAGAGCGUCAAAGACGGCGGCCCCAAUGAGCAGGUCGGCUCAUGCAUCCCUUUAUCUUGAACAGGAAGACAUUAAGAGCAGGAUGUGCACCGACUGGAGUCGAGACACUCAUCUGUCCAAGUGCCAUACCCAAAGAAGAGGAAAUAUUCUGCAAAUAGGAUGCUAUCUUCUCUCUGAUAACAGCAGGUGACAACAGAGAGGAUGACGUCAUUUUGAUGAUCCUUUAGGGCAAAUACAGUGCAUUUUGUGUCUCAAAGGCCAAAGUCUUUUUGAAGCCUGUUUAAUAAUUAAUAGUAUGAAUCUACAGGAACUUAAAAUGAAUAGUGACAAUAAUAGAAAAGGCAGCUUAACUGAACAGACAUUUGGGCGUGAUAAAUCAGAGGGCAGGGAGGGGCUUCAUAGUUUAAGGUACCUGUGUGGAGGAAAUGAAAAGAAGUUUAUUUAUUUAUUUAUUUUUUACAAAAUGGAACACUUUUCUGAAACAACAGUAAAAGGCAGCUGACUGCAAUUCAAGUAAUUGUGUUGCUUUCUGUUCAAGAUCACAGAGUUAAAAAUAAAAUCUGUCCAUGCUUUGGCACCGAGGUUAUUUCAUGAGGCUCUGCUUGUCAACAGGACAACAAGACAGGCAACUGCUUGGCUCACAAACUUAAACCAAAGCAGUGGCCCAAAAUGUACAUUUUUUGCAAACACAGUAGGAAACCUCCCUUAGGGGGCACCGUCUGACGGCACUCGCUCUCUUUCCCUGCUAAACGAAGAGGAGUAAAUUGAUACUCCAGAUGGUGAUAAACGCGGGUUGGAGCCCCCCCAUUGAUAUUUUCCUAUAGGGCCCCAAGAGAGUCUAGAAUCACCACUAGGCCUCAUCAGAAAAGGUAUUUUUCGCCCUACAUCUCUCUGCUCCUGCGAGAGGGUGCAUGUACUGACAGCUAAAACCUUAUCACAGUCUAUGAACUGUAGCAGGAAAGAGGUCAAGGGGAGAUCAUCACGCUGUGUCAUGGAUCACGUAGGCCUAUCUCUCGACCUGAUAAACAUUUAAACAAAUGUAUUUGGGCCAGGCUGUGAGCAAGGA